rnacentral:scRNA from 1 species
UUUUCUGACUGUUAUGUCAAGUCUGCCCUCCCUGUCAUUCAGUGUUAGUUGGAGGGUUUUAGACAUGUGACACACAGCAACUCUGCCCAUUAAAGGGGAUGAGUUCAAAGUAGGGAACUCCAUCCUAAAGGCAGGGCAAGACAAA